rnacentral:rRNA from 1 species
AGCCGGAUUAAUACCGCAUACGCUCUACGGAGGAAAGGGGGGGAUCUUAGGACCUCUCGCUACAGGGGCGGCCGAUGGCAGAUUAGCUAGUUGGUGGGGUAAAGGCCUACCAAGGCGACGAUCUGUAGCUGGUCUGAGAGGACGACCAGCCACACUGGGACUGAGACACGGCCCAGACUCCUACGGGAGGCAGCAGUGGGGAAUUUUGGACAAUGGGGGCAACCCUGAUCCAGCAAUGCCGCGUGUGUGAAGAAGGCCUUCGGGUUGUAAAGCACUUUUGUCCGGAAAGAAAUCAUCCUGGUUAAUACCCGGGGUGGAUGACGGUACCGGAAGAAUAAGCACCGGCUAACUACGUGCCAGCAGCCGCGGUAAUACGUAGGGUGCAAGCGUUAAUCGGAAUUACUGGGCGUAAAGCGUGCGCAGGCGGUUCGCUAAGACAGAUGUGAAAUCCCCGGGCUUAACCUGGGAACUGCAUUUGUGACUGGCGGGCUAGAGUAUGGCAGAGGGGGGUAGAAUUCCACGUGUAGCAGUGAAAUGCGUAGAGAUGUGGAGGAAUACCGAUGGCGAAGGCAGCCCCCUGGGCCAAUACUGACGCUCAGCA